rnacentral:siRNA from 1 species
AUCCACGUUUUCGGACUUGGUAGG